rnacentral:misc_RNA from 1 species
UCCGGUUUGUCACCGGCAGUCUCCCUAGAGUUCCCGGCCGAACCGCUGGCAACUAGGGACAAGGGUUGCGCUCGUUACGGGACUUAACCCAACAUCUCACGACACGAGCUGACGACAGCCAUGCAGCACCUGUCACUGGGUUCCCGAAGGCACUCCGGAAGCUCUUCCGGAUUCCCAGGAUGUCAAGCCCAGGUAAGGUUCUUCGCGUUGCAUCGAAUUAAUCCACAUGCUCCGCCGCUUGUGCGGGCCCCCGUCAAUUCUUUUGAGUUUUAGCCUUGCGGCCGUACUCCCCAGGCGGGAUACUUAACGCGUUAACUUCGUUACCAAGGAAUUGCUUCCCCGACAACCAGUUGACAUAGUUUAGGGCGUGGACUAC